GGAGAUUGUGCCAUUGGAUGAGAGAGAAAAUUUCCAGGGCAUGAAUGGAAAGGCUGACAUGUUCAUAAAUAUUGCUGACCUAUUUUGAAGCACAGCAGGGAGUUGAUUGCAUGGAUUGGACUAAUGGAGGACUGAAAUAAAUUUGUAUUGCUUUUUGUUGAUGUUGUUUAUUACAAACAUUGCUGAUUCUUCAGAGUCUGGAG
rnacentral:lncRNA from 10 species